UGAACAAGCACUGUAGAUUCCAAAUAUAGACGUUGAAGCAAAAAAUCAAAACAGUCAUAACGUAAUUUGCACAGAACAGGUUUGAACAAGAAUUCACUUGAAAUCAAGGUUUCGAUUUGAGCGACUGUUGUGUUGUUAUAUUGUUUUCGAGUUAUCAACAGACGUAUUUUUCUAGAUAUUUAAUUGCUUUAUUGUAGAAUAAAACGCCAGAAAACCGUGCAAGAUAAACCGCAUAGAUGUAUAAAUGUAUUCUUUUGAAAAAAAGUUACCAAUAAGUCUAUAACCAUUUUCUACUGGACGUUGACUCGACUGACUCACUUUAUUUGCUUAUAUUGUUCCGUUUAGGCUGACCUGCAGAAAUUAUUUCCGAGAUGUCUUUUACGAGACCCACAGAUACCCCAAAAGACUCUUACUUGCCUGACAAUUUCAUUCCGAGUGCCAGUUGUAUCCAAUACAACCUGAGCUGUCAAAGGAAGGGUUGCCAAGGAAUCACAGAGGAGGAUCUGCAGCCUAAUCAAGAAAAGUUUGUAAAAUUAGUGUAUCAAAUGAGCGAGCAAUUGAAAAUGUUUGAAGAUUGCAUCAAAAAGAUAAAGAUUGACCACGAUAUACAGGAAACUUUCAAAAACUUGAAUAAAGUUUGGCGAGAAAUUUUGGAAAUUUUGGAACCCAAAACGCGAAAAUUUGGAGAGCAACUGCGCGCUGGAAGAAUAACUGCAGACGAAAUUUACGAAUACCUCACGACUUUUAACUAUGAACCCAGUGCCGUUGAUCUGAGAAACGAUAUAUCGGACACAAGAGGAUUUGUUCGUAUCAAAUCCAAAAAUUCCACUCCAGUGAUGAAUACUGCCGAUAAAGAGUCGCUUGCGAAAACAUGGGAACUAGCUAUACGAUUCAAAGUCAAGUUAAUUUAUCUUGACCAAA